GACGUAGGGUGCGAGCGUUGUCCGGAGUUAUUGGGCGUAAAGGGCUCGUAGGCGGUUUGUCGCGUCGGGAGUGAAAUCCACUGGCUUAACUGGUGGCUUGCUUUCGAUACGGGCAGACUGGAGGUAUGCAGGGGAGAACGGAAUUCCUGGUGUAGCGGUGAAAUGCGCAGAUAUCAGGAGGAACACCAAUAGCGAAGGCAGCUCGCUGGGACGGUACUGACGCUAAGGCGCGAAAGCGUGGGGAGCGAACAGG
rnacentral:rRNA from 1 species